AGCUCCAAUAGCGUAUAUUAAAGUUGUUGCAGUUAAAAAGCUCGUAGUUGGAUUUCGGAGUGGGCCAGUUGGUCCGCCGCAAGGUGUGUUACUGACUGGUUUGCUCUUCUUCGCAAAGACUGCGUGUGCUCUUCAGUGAGUGUGCGUAGGAUUUACGACGUUUACUUUGAAAAAAUUAGAGUGUUCAAAGCAGGCUAUUGCUUGAAUACAUGAGCAUGGAAUAAUGGAAUAGGACUUUGGUCCCAUUUUGUUGGUUUCUAGGGCCGAAGUAAUGAUUAAGAGGGACAAUUGGGGGCAUCCGUAUUUCGUUGUCAGAGGUGAAAUUCUUGGACCGUCGCAAGACGAACAACUGCGAAAGCAUUUGCCAAGAAUGUUUUCA
rnacentral:rRNA from 1 species